CAUCUUUUUUUUUAUUCUAUUUUUCUAUGACUGUCAGUUUGUCUUUGUGCCGCAGUUCACCCACACCGUGACACUCAGGAGUAACACACAGUGAGUUCUCCUGAACUAUGACCGCAAAGCUCAAAGGGUUAUUAUCGCUUUCUUGUGACGAUUCACCUAGGCUGUUGUUGUUCUCACAAGCUCAUUUAAGGUGUGCAUGUUGUAAGGAUCAGAUCAACAUGUGGUGGUAAUUAAUCUGCAAAUUACAAUGUGAAGUAAUUCUUUUCUUUUCUAUGCAUGAUUUUCUUUUCUUUUUGUUUAUGGGGGGGGUGGAGAGCGCUCAUAUGAGCUACAGUUUAUAAAGGAAUGCUUAUCUAAAUAAAAACAACACCAGCAUGGAUGUAAAUCUUUCUUAGCCUCCCAGUAAACACAAACUUAAAAGAAAGCUAUAUAUAUUCCACACAGUGGUUUAUAUCAGCUUGCAAUACUUUUUCGCCUCUUACCUUUCCAAGCAAGCAAAGCUAAACCAAUGAAUAGAGGGAUUUUCAAGGCUUUCUGAAGUGAUGAGAAAGAGGUGGAAACAAUUAAGUCCGGACAACGCACUCUAUCUAGACUCUAUUGAUCGGUGUGAGGUCAUCCCACCACCACUAAAUUAAUCUUUGCAUUUUCAGCUUUCUUUUCUAUCUUCCCCCAAUAAUGUGCUCUCGUGACACCAACAGCAACUUUGUUUUCAUGCUAAAUAUCAAGACACACAAUAUCACCUCGCUAUUCGUGUAUGCGAGAACUAAUGUUGGGGCCAAGAGCUAAUCAGGGAACUUUCUAUGACCAAAGGUGAGCAUUACAUUGUUUCGCAGUCAACGUCAGUAGUUGGUUAAACGUAAUCAUUGCCCUACUUUAUUUCACUCACCUCCUGAAAACUUAAAAACUCAGCACAAUCAGCAAAAGCUUAUCACUUGUUAAGCCCUCUGUGAUUAGAUCACAUGGUAGCAAAUUGAAUCCUUCUCCUCUCUCUGAAACCCACAGAGGAAUACUAGCAAGUAUACUAUAAUGGGAGGCUUAUUUAGCUUUAUUUGUAAAGUGCGCAUCGGCAGGAUGGGAGAGAGCAGUGGAAAGAGUAAACCUUUCUAUCUUUUGCUCCCUCUGCCACUUCAAAAGACGACCGAGGCUUUUUACUCAUGGGAUUUAGUCACCUUGCAAGCACACCCUGUGCUUCUUUGUCAGGUGUGAGGCCAGUUGGUAAAUGCAGACAAAAAUGGUGCGGUCCUAAUUGUUAGGUAACAAAGAACACACUCUGCAUCACAUUAGACGAAUAAUAUAAAGUAAAUGCUGAGAUUUAUUCAGCCUUCCGUAUUUCAUAAACUACAUCUUCCUGUCCCUUGUUCUCAAAGUAUUGCCACCUUUUUUUUGUCUAGAAAACACUCUGUCGCUAUAUUACAGACUAACUAGAGUUUGUGUUUGAUAUUUGCUUUAAUAGAUUCAUUUGUGGCCAGUGAACAGUAUACUUUUAACUGAUAAAUGAAAGGACAGAUUAAUACUCUUAACUGGCUGGGAAAUGUAUCAAGGGAGGAGGAAUUAGGCCCAACAUUGUUAUAAGAGUAAAUUGAGCAUUAUUUCAGUCAUGCGCAAUUUUGGUAUUUUUCCCAGUACUUUUUCAUUGAGGAUUAUGCCAUGCCAGGCUCAUCCUGUGUGUUCUGAAAGAAAACAGGAUUUCACACUCACUGUCAGGCUGCCUCUUUGCUGAUCCCCCAUAUUUAUAUUUUCAAUUAUUUUCCGUUUUUCACCCACUCAUCUUUAGAAUGUGCUGAUGUUGAUGCUUAUACAAUGUGUCCGUUUAUAAAUCUAAGUAGGGCACAGACGACUUUGCUUAUCUGAGGGAAGACGCACAGCCGAAGUUGAUAAUGAAGAUGACGGUAACAGCACGUGGUGCUUACCAACUUCAAUUAGACAUUUAUUUUCACUGAGUUUUAUGAGCUGUUUGGUAUCCUGGGGUUAGGAAACGUUCCAUCAAACGAUGCCGUUAUAGGCAGUUCGCAAGUAGGCAUGGCUCUACUUUUUUCUAAAUGGCACUUGUCAUUUCUUUUUAUAAUGGCAAUUGCUACUUCACACUUUGAUAGUACACAGAAUGUGUUGCAUCAAAAACUUCAGUAACACAUCCACAUAGUCCAUCUGACAAAAAAAUUGAGACGGAACAAUAUUCAGCUUUUGUCAUUAUAUUAUGUAGCACGGCUGUACGGAAUUCACGAAUGGAAGUAAAGUCUCUUGCUCAAAAAAAAAAAAUCCCUGCAACCUUUUAAUUUAAAAGUAAAAGUAAUCAAGUAUCCAGUCUUGUGCAAUUAAUGCCAAAUAAAUCAUCCUCUUGUAGAAGCCCCUCUGAGUGGAGGCAUCAAUUACACCAUACCUUUAACCAGGCUAAAUGAAACACCUUGAAGUAAUUUUCACAAGGACCUCAUUUCAUGCUCACUCCGCUCUCUGUUCAUCAUCCAGCAUUAGCACGAGCUCAACCACUUCUCAUUCACACGCUCUCAUUGGGCAUAUUGCCAGUAUGUCACAAGUACACAUCUUGAGGACACUCUUAUAAUUAAGGAGCGAUUUAAUAAGUAGCUGGGCUCCACUGUAGCUGAUAGUGUCCUGUCAGAAGAUUGAGGUCCACUAUGCGACGCUUUUGACAGCUCGAGAUUAUGACGAGAUAUGUGAAGUCAGAUGCUGACUAGACAACACCAAUGUGUUGAAGAGCCGGCCAACCAAGCCUGGCUAAAGGUGCCCUACCCCCACCUCUAAGACAUUUUACAACUUACAUCUUAUGUACAAUUUACAGCUUAUGUUUAAGCACCAUUAGAGUGAAAGACUGAUGUCACAAUAGAUAUAUUUCAAAUACAAAUUAAGAGUUUUGCCCUUCAGUGUGGUGCCUUGCUCAAGGGCUCCUGUGUCCUCAGCUGGACUUGGACCCAGGACCAUCCACAGCCACACAAAAUUGUCCCUUCUAGCUCGUUUUCCAAACUAACUCUCAGAAUUACACUCGGAUACAUCAACUCAGAACCUGAUAGUGCAUGCAAUUGUCCAUGUGUUCGCUGCACUCGUUCAGACUAUUAUCACUCUAACUUUAUGGGGGGGGGGGUCAAACUCACAGUGACAGUUCAAUAAAUUCUAAGUAGUCUUGGUUGCUUCAUUACCCCAAGCACGGACCUGAAGCAACCUCUGUGUUUUGCCUCAUCCAGCUUUGUCACCCUGCACAUUCUUGCCAAUUACCAAAUAAAUGAGAGCCAUACUGGAUACAAAUGAGGAAAAAUAGUCUUUGUUGAGGACCAUUUGUUGUUGAAAUUCUAGUUGACAGGAAAAAAUGUGACUCCCCAAACAAGUCUAGUGAAAAUAAGGGGAGCUUCCAACCAGGUA